GAUGAACGCUGGCGGCGUGCCUAAUACAUGCAAGUCGAGCGAACAGACGAGGAGCUUGCUCCUCUGACGUUAGCGGCGGACGGGUGAGUAACACGUGGAUAACCUACCUAUAAGACUGGGAUAACUUCGGGAAACCGGAGCUAAUACCGGAUAAUAUAUUGAACCGCAUGGUUCAAUAGUGAAAGACGGUUUUGCUGUCACUUAUAGAUGGAUCCGCGCCGCAUUAGCUAGUUGGUAAGGUAACGGCUUACCAAGGCAACGAUGCGUAGCCGACCUGAGAGAGGGAUCGCCCACACUGGAACGGAGACAGGGUCCAGACUACUACGGGAGGCACCAGUAGGGAAUCUUCCGCAAUGGGGGAAAGCCUGACGGAGCAACGCCGCGUGAGUGAUGAAGGUCUUCGGAUCGUAAAACUCUGUUAUUAGGGAAGAACAAAUGUGUAAGUAACUAUGCACGUCUUGACGGUACCUAAUCAGAAAGCCACGGCUAACUACGUG
rnacentral:rRNA from 1 species